rnacentral:tRNA from 1 species
GUAGUUCAGUUGGUUAGAAUGCCAGCCUGUCACGCUGGAGGUCGAGGGUUCGAACCCCUUCC